UGGGUGACCUGCCCUCAGCUCUGGGAUAAGCCUGGGAAACUGGGUCUAAUACCGGAUAUGACCUUCUGCUGCAUGGCAGGGGGUGGAAAGUUUUUCGGCUGGGGAUGGGCCCGCGGCCUAUCAGCUUGUUGGUGGGUGAUGGCCUACCAAGGCGACGACGGGUAGCCGGCCUGAGAGGGUGACCGGCCACACUGGGACUGAGACACGGCCCAGACUCCUACGGGAG
rnacentral:rRNA from 1 species